ensembl:lncRNA
AUAUAGCCUACAGGCUCCUCCGUCCGUGGGAUUCUCCAGGCAAGAGUACUGGAGUGGGUUGCCAUUUCCUUCUCCAGGGGAUCUUCCUGACCCAGGGAUUGAACCCAGGUCUCCCACAUUGUAGGUAGACGCUUUACAGUCUGAGCCACCAGGAAAGUCCUAAAAAUCGCCAAGGGAGCCAUGGGAGCAGAUAGCCUGAGUUUGAGCCCUAGCAAAAGACCACUGGUGGACAGAAAGAGAGAAAUAGAUUUCCUUAAAGCAACUGACUAAAUAUAACAUGUUUACUAAAAAGCUGGCCACAGACAGCUAAAAUGCAAAUACAAAUGAACUUUGAUGGGCUAGUUGGCAAGCCUCCUCAGCCCUUUAAGCAAAUUCCUGAGUGAUAAAGUUUGUUCUGAAACAUACCUGGGAGCUAGCACUUAUGAACUUCCUAGGGGCUCUUAUCUUUUAGGAUUUAAGAAGUAGCUAGAUUGUGAACGUUUUUCAGACUGCUUUUAUUCUUUCUUUCCAUUUAUCUAUCUACUUACCUACCUAUCUAUGUUUGCCUUAGCAGACCAAUUCGUUAUCCUUAAUGAUGACUAAGACAUCAGCUUCUGUUUACUGAUUUGGUGAACUGAGGUACCAGCACAGUAAGGAACUUGCCUUGAGAUGAAGGAAUAUACAGUCGAACAACAGCUAGAAUUCAGGUUUCCCAAACUGCAGUUCUUUCUUUAGCCCACUGGUGGGCUGCCUCCUAUUUCUAUUUCUUUCACAGGUUCUUUUUUACAUACAUGUACAUAUCUGCAUAGGAGAUGUCUUUGGGACCAUCGGUUCUCUUCACGCAGCUGGCCUGGAAUCUGAGACAGAUCACUGGAACACUCUGGUUCUGUGUAUUUCAGAAAUCGUGGUGGGGACUUCCCUGGUGGUAUAGUGGAUAGGAAUUCACCUGCCAAUGCAGAGACCAAGGGCUUGAUUCCUGAUCUGGGAAGAUCCCACACGCCACGGAGCGACUAAGCCCAUGUCCCGCAACUACUGAGCCCUGCACACCUAGAGCCUGUGCUCCACAAAAGAGAAGCCACCUCCAUGAGAAGCCUGUGCACUGCAACUAGAGGAAGCUGGAGAAAGCAACGAAGACCCAGUGCAACAACAACAAAAAAGAUUUUUUUUUAAUGUGAUGGCGGGAAGCAUUUACAUGUGGUUGUUGUUUCAUUUCAACUAUUCUUCAAAAACGGGGGCGAGAAAAGCCAAGUUCUCUAGUUUUCAUAUAAAGAUGACUCAAUUUAUUUGAAAAUGAGUGUUCCAGAAUCAGACUUCCAGAUUCCAUGAAUUCAGAGUGUGGAAAAGGACACGCAGCUCCCUUUAGCUGUAACAGGAGACAGUCUUUUAAAAGCCUGGAAUGCUGAAGCUCUCUUACACUGAAAACAUGUUAGGACAUGCCUUCUUGGGAUGCUACCAAGUGGUUUAGGCUCUGAAUUCUACAUUCUGUACUUUUGAAAUUGUUUUCUGUUGGCAGACAACCUCUUGAUUAUUCUCAUGUGAUGAGUGUUCAGGCCAACCUCUCCCAUUCCAAGUAAUUAAAAGACAGCAACAAACUCAUACUCUGUGAAGUAUCUACACUUUAGCAUAAAGUUGUGGGUUGUGUGAGUGCUGGGCUUAUAGUGAUCAAUUCUAUGAGCUUUGUAAGUUGUGGGUUGUGUGAGUGCUG